GCUGUAGCUCCAUGGUAGAGCAUCUGUGUGACACACAGAAGGUCUCAGGUUCAAUUUCUAGUAUCUCCU